CCUUGCCAGUUUUGUAACAAAGAGACCAGCGAUUAAUAAUGAAAAUUUUGUAAAUUAUUUUAGAUUUUUAAGAACAUAAUACUGUUGCCCCCUUUUUUGUCAUUCAGGAUGAUUUCAAUGUGAACUGUUUUGUAACCAAACUCUUAAUUCUUAUACUGUUUGCCCUGCUUCAGAGUUAAAAAGCCGAGUUAUAAAAUUCUUAAUUACAUCUCAGUUGGUAUGACUUGAAGAAGAGGUAUUGUCACUAACCUAUGUUGCCCUAAUGAGUAAAAUAAUUUCACUCACGACAUAGAUUUAUAACAGGCCUAAGGCCCAAACUUACUGUGCUAAGGAAUUUAUUUAUUUACUUUAAGAAAGUUCAAACUCUGUGGUCUUGAACCCCAGUUCUCAGAUUAUUAAUUAUAGAUUACUUAAUUGUAUUAGGGAAUUGUUAUGUUAUAUUUUACUUUUGGAUAAAACCUGCAUUAGAUGCAUAAUUCAGUAAGUUUUAAAGAAUGUUAAUUUGUCCUUGUUUAGAAGUUAAGCACCUUAUCAAGAUAUUAAUUUAAGUAUUAAAAUCUUGUUUUAUAACUUUGUAACUUGAGAGUAAUGGAUGCUGUAGUGAUGUCUCACAUAUGUGAAGAUGAACAAUAAAAUUGUUUAUUUACAA
rnacentral:lncRNA from 1 species